GUAGUGGGCCCAUUAUCUGUAGGCGUUGUCAAAAACCAGGCCAUUUUGCACGGGAAUGCGAGGGGGAACGUGUUAUGUCCCGGUCACCAUUACGUUCUCGUGUUGAUCAAGCCAGUGGAGGUGUGCAGUCGCAAGCUAAUGUGUCGGAAAACUAAUUCCCGCCGUGCUGAAGAGUCACAGCUCGGCUGGGAAAAUGACUGACUCAGACGGUAAGAAAUCUAGUUCAGUUCCAAAUUUAAUGUCUCCUUGUCCGCAUCUGAAUGUUUCAAUUGGUGGCGUGUUAGUCCCUUGUUUAAUUGACACUGGUUCAGUGGUAUCAACUAUUACGGAAAGUUGUUUUAUUCAACACUUUGAGCCAUGGGGUCAUGAACGCUUGAGGUCGUGUUCCUGGCUGCAGCUAAGGGCUGCAAAUGGGCUCUCAAUUCCAUAUACCGGUUAUAUGGAAUUGGAUAUUGAGCUCUGUGGUAGGAUAGUUCCGCGAUGUGGGGUGCUGGUGGUCAAGGAUCCUCCUGGUGGCUUGCGCUCUCAAGUCCCUGGUGUGUUGGGGAUGAAUGUACUUGGGCGAUGCUACCAGGAGCUCUUUGGACAGCAUGGCCCCUCUUUGUUCGAUUUUCCUCCGGUUUCUAGUGCGCCACUUUCAGUUUUUCAAGCCUUACAACACUGCCAUCAAGGUAGCGAACAAUCUCUCGUUGAGUGUAUGACUAAGGUAAGGGUGCGUGGUCCUCGGGCAUGUCGUGUCACAGGUGGUACUAUUAAGUUGGUUGCAGCAACCUGUGCAGAACAGUUGGCAGGUAGUACAGUACUGUUCGAGCCCAUUGAGUCUGGGUUACCUGAAGGGUUGUUGGCAUCCCCCGCCUUGGUGCGAGUGAUUGGAGGCUCAGUUUAUGUGCCAGUGGUCAACAUAGGCACGUCUGAUGUCCUCCUUUAUCCACGCAGAGUAUUGGGUACUCUGGUUAGAGCGAAUGUUGUUAGUUUGCCGGCAGAUGUUACUGAAGUUAGACCCACUACAGCAAAUGUGUACUCUCAAGCCACUCUAGCAGUUAGUGCCCCCGUUUUAGAGCAGAUUGCAAAAGUAGAUCUGACUGCAUUACCAGAACUGGAACAGGGAAAGGUGAGGGCCUUGCUUACAAAGUAUCAGAUGGUAUUCUCUGAACAUGACGGUGAUUUGGGAUGUACAAGUCUUAUAUCUCAUGAUAUCCCACUCUUAGAUGACAUCCCUGUGCGUCAGCGACAUCGCCGGGUGCCUCCCUCUGAGUAUGAGGUUGUUCGAGCCCACAUCAAUCAGCUGUUGGAGUCUCGGGUAAUUAGGGAAAGUUGCAGCCCAUAUGCCUCCCCAAUCGUCUUGGUAAAAAAAAAGGAUGGUAGUCUACGCUUAUGCGUUGACUACCGCCAGUUAAACGCCAAGACUAGAAAGGAUGCAUUUCCUUUGCCUCGGAUUGAGGAGUAACUGGAUGCGUUGAAAGGGGCCUGUUGGUUUUCCACUAUGGAUUUAGCUAGUGGUUAUAACCAGGUCCCUGUCACAGAGGGGGAUAAGCCGAAGACCGCUUUUUGCACCCCAUUUGGCCUGUUUGAAUGGAAUCGUAUGCCCUUUGGGUUGUGCAAUGCCCCCUCUACCUUCCAGCGACUUAUG
ensembl:lncRNA